UUCAAGCAGUAAGUCUGAGAGGUAGGCAAAUCCGCCUCUUAUAAGGAUAAGCUGUGAUGGGGAGUGAAAAUAGUAGCGAAGUAGCAGAUAUCACACUGUCAAGAAAAGUUUCUAUCGAGGGAGCAGGUGCCUGUACCGUAAACCGACACAGGUGGGAGAGUAGAAUAUACUAAGGCGAGCGAGAAAACUAUUGUUAAGGAACUCGGCAAAAUGACCCCGUAACUUCGGGAGAAGGGGUGCCGACUCAGGUUCAGAGCUAGAGUCGGCCGCAGAGGAUAGGUCCAAGCGACUGUUUACCAAAAACACAGGUCUCUGCUAAAUCGAAAGAUGAUGUAUAGGGGCUGACGCCUGCCCGGUGCUGGAAGGUUAAGGGGAAGUGUAAGGGUAACCAAAGCACAGAACUGAAGCCCCAGUAAACGGCGGCCGUAACAAUAACGGUCCUAAGGUAGCGAAAUUCCUUGUCGGGUAAGUUCCGACCCGCACGAAAGGCGUAACGAUUUGGACGCUGUCUCAACAAUAGACUCGGUGAAAUUGUAGUACCGGUAAAGAUGCCGGUUACCCGCAGCUAGACGGAAAGACCCCGUGGAGCUUUACUGCAGCUUGGCACUGGAUAAUGGUAUAUCAUGUACAGGAUAGGUGAGAGACAGAGAAGUUAGGACGCUAGUCUUAGCGGAGUCGCCGUUGGGAUACCACUCUUGAUAUAACGUUAUUCUAACUAUGACCAGUUAGCCUGGUUUAGGACAAUGUCAGGUGGGCAGUUUGACUGGGGCGGUCGCCUCCUAAAGAGUAACGGAGGCGCCUAAAGGUUCCCUCAGCGCGGUUGGAAAUCGCGCGAAGAGUGUAAAGGCAAAAGGGAGCUUGACUGCGAGAGAGACAUUUCGAGCAGGUACGAAAGUAGAGCUUAGUGAUCCGGUGGCACCGCAUGGAAGGGCCAUCGCUCAACGGAUAAAAGCUACCCCGGGGAUAACAGGCUUAUCUCCCCCAAGAGUCCACAUCGACGGGGAGGUUUGGCACCUCGAUGUCGGCUCGUCUCAUCCUGGGGCUGAAGUAGGUCCCAAGGGUUGGGCUGUUCGCCCAUUAAAGGGGCACGCGAGCUGGGUUCAGAACGUCGUGAGACAGUUCGGUCCCUAUCUGCUGUGGGCGUAGGAAAUUUGAGAGGAGCUGUCCUUAGUACGAGAGGACCGGGAUGGACGAACCGCUGGUGGAUCAGUUGUCAUGCCAAUGGCACAGCUGAGUAGCUAAGUUCGGACGGGAUAAGCGCUGAAGGCAUCUAAGCGCGAAGCCCCCCUCAAGAUGAGAUUUCCCAUCCAGAAAUGGAGUAAGAUCCCAUGAAGAUAAUAUGGUAAUAGGCCUGAGGUGUAAGUGCAGUAAUGUACUCAGCUGACAGGUACUAAUAGAUCGAGGACUUGACCG
rnacentral:rRNA from 1 species